rnacentral:rRNA from 1 species
CCUACGGGAGGCAGCAGUGGGGGAUAUUGCACAAUGGGGGAAACCCUGAUGCAGCGACGCCGCGUGGGUGAAGAAGUAUUUCGGUAUGUAAAGCCCUAUCAGCAGGGAAGAAAGAAGACGGUACCUGACUAAGAAGCCCCGGCUAACUACGUGCCAGCAGCCGCGGUAAUACGUAGGGGGCGAGCGUUAUCCGGAUUCACUGGGUGUAAAGGGAGCGUAGACGGCCGUGCAAGCCAGGAGUGAAAGCCCGGGGCCCAACCCCGGGACUGCUCUUGGAACUGUGCGGCUGGAGUGCGGGAGGGGCAGGCGGAAGUCCUGGUGUAGCGGUGAAAUGCGUAGAUAUCAGGAGGAACACCGGCGGCGAAGGCGGCCUGCUGGACCGCGACUGACGUUGAGGCUCGAAAGCGUGGGGAGCGAACAGGAUUAGAUACCCGGGUAGUC